rnacentral:other from 1 species
GUAAUCCUGCUUUGUUUGUAUUAGAUUUGCUUGGUUUUGAUCCUAUUAUUUUUUUGGGAGCCAUUUAGUGACGUUUAAGUACAUCAUGCUUUAGACACUAAUGAAGAUGGAAAGAAAGUCUAGGUGCCCACCUGCGAGAGCAGGGUCAGAAAACCAGGUGUCUUGCGGCAUAGCGGGAAGGUA